CAGCCGGCCCCGAUCAGUUUGGGUGUGACGUAAGGAAAGCCCAGUGGAAUUCGGUUUCUAACCAAUAACCUGCUUGAACUGCCUGACUUGGGAGAUCCUUCGGAAUCCAGGUUAUCCAGAUCAUUUGAAGGGAAGGAUUUAAAUCCUGGAGAACGAGAUCAAAGAGGAUUGGGCAUCAGCCUCCGAAGAUAAAUGGACAGAAAUUUAAGAAGGCAAGGAAAAUUCUUCUCUAACGAA